rnacentral:tRNA from 1 species
GCCUGGGUGGCUUCGUGGGUUAAGCAUCCGACUUGGGCUCAGGUCAUGAUCUCACAGUUCGUGGGUUCAAGCCCCACACCAGGCU